UUGCCUCAACCACUGUUUCCCCAGCCAUGUUCAGUCACAGCUAUGGGUUAGCAGGGGCUAGGGAGCACUCCCAAUAAGCAGUUUGUAUGUGGCCACCAUGUGCUGGAAGUUGCGGGACUUAGUUUUAAGAAUGUAAAUAGCUAGGCACAGUUGUACAUAAUGCACCACACCACACCAGUUUGACUUAGGUCCAGAGACAGCCCAUUGAAAUUACUGUAAUAAAUACAACUAAUAAUUUUUCAUGCCUGAAUGAACAAAGGGUCUUUCAAUUUCAGUCUUUCAAUUACUUUUAUAGCAAUUAGACCCACUCAAUUUUAGAUGUCUUCUAACACAGCUUUUGUUUUUAUACCAAGCAACUUAAUUAACUGCAGCUCACAUUUGUGCAUGGUGCCAAGAAGAGUUUUCCCAAGGUCAAAGGAUUCCUCCUGCUGUCCUGGCAUUUGGCUGUAUAUAGGUCUCAGCUGACAUACAGAGCCAGUUUGCACCCAGCUGCUUUCAUCAAUAGCUGCACAUCAGUUCCUGAUUCUGAGAGAAGAAUUGGCUGUCCAUGCCUUUCACCUGGCUCACAGAAAACAGUAAUAACAAUAAUAAAAUUAAUCUGUUGA